rnacentral:rRNA from 1 species
UACGUAGGGGGCGAGCGUUGUCCGGAAUUAUUAGGCGUAAAGAGCGUGUAGGCGGUUCGGUAAGUCUGCCGUGAAAACCUGGGGCUCAACCCUGGGCGUGCGGUGGAUACUGCCGGGCUAGAGGGUGGUAGAGGCGAGUGGAAUUCCCGGUGUAGCGGUGAAAUGCGCAGAUAUCGGGAGGAACACCAAUGGCGAAGGCAGCUCGCUGGGACGGUACUGACGCUGAGACGCGAAAGCGUGGGGAGCGAACAGG